rnacentral:rRNA from 1 species
GACGAACGCUGGCGGCGUGCUUAACACAUGCAAGUCGAACGGAAAGGCCCUGCUUUUGUGGGGUGCUCGAGUGGCGAACGGGUGAGUAACACGUGAGUAACCUGCCCUUGACUUUGGGAUAACUUCAGGAAACUGGGGCUAAUACCGGAUAGGAGCUCCUGCUGCAUGGUGGGGGUUGGAAAGUUUCGGCGGUUGGGGCUGGACUAGCGGCUUAUCAGCUUGUUGGUGGGGUAGUGGCUUACCAAGGCUUUGACGGGUAGCCGGCCUGAGAGGGUGACCGGGCACAUUGGGACUGAGGGACGGCCCAGACUCGUACGGGAGGCAGCAGUGGAGAGUAUUGCACAGUGGGCGGGAGCCAGAUGCGGCAACGCCGCGUGCGGGAUGACGGCCUUCGGGUUGUAAACCGCUUUCGCCUGUAACGAAGCGUGAGUGACGGUAAUGAGUAAAGAAGCACCGGCUAACUACGUG